rnacentral:lncRNA from 1 species
AUUUAACCUUGAGAUAACAUCUUAAUAUUUCAAACAUAACACAGGUAAUGAAGCAUCCCAAAAGAUGUUUAGAUGUAGAGCUUAGUGAUAUGGUUUAGUGGAGGACUUGUUAGUGUUAGGUUGGACUCAGUGAUCUUGGAGGUCUCUUCCAACCUAGAUGAUUCUGUGAUUCUUGCUUCUAACUGUCAAAGCUCCAUCCACGGAAUGGAUAGAACCAUGUAGUGGCCUUGCUACAUUAUGUAUGUCAAGAAAAUAUUAACUACAAUGCAAGAACCCUGACCCGUGGCAAAAAGCUGUAAAAAGUGAAGGUAAGCCCUUAGAAACUAUUAUACACGUACAAAUUAAUUCAAACUGUGAGGGAGAAGUACCGUACAUCUUUUGAUAUUUGCAAGACUGUUCGUCAUAUCAAGUUUCUUGUUGUGACCACUUCACUAAACUUGCUUUCUGAAUAAGAAAUUUUAAAUAAAUAAAUAAAUAAACAAAUAAAUAAAAGCACAACUUUCUUGCAAAGGCCCUCUCCUGGUUCCAUGCACCAAAUCCUGCUGAUGUGGGACAUUUAAAACUUCCUAUUAAGAUGCACUCAGUUCCAUUCUGGAGAAAUUCUUGAUGACGGGAAAGAAUGAAAGCUCUCAGAGCCUCUUGAGGUAUUUCCUGAAGAUUUGAUGACCUGCAACUCACAGGCAUCUUUAAAAAAGGUUAAAGACUGUUAUGACAGACAGCUGCAAAAAGCAAAUAUAAGAAAACAAACGAACAAACUAAACCAACAACGUGACCCUGUGCAACAAACUAAACCCACGAAGUGACGACGCCUCAAACCCCGACCUCCCCCCCGCCCUGCUCAGCACAAGAUGGAGGCCGCACCUCCGUGCUGCACCGUGCCGAUUGGUUGGGCGCCUCCAAGGCACUGCUGCCAAUCAACCGUAAGCCCCGCCCCUCCCAGGAGCGUGUAUAUGUGUGUGAGGAAGUAGGUGCGCCGCCAUUUUGCCGGCGUGGGACGGGUGGUGGCGGCGGUGUAUUGCUCGUCGGUCCGGCGUUGAGGUGGUGGGAAAUGGUCGUGCACUGGUGGUUAUGGCUCUCCCACGUCCCUUUCACGCUUAGAGGUGCAGAGCUGCUAUUAUAA